CAAAUUCUUGUAAGCUAAGUCGAAUCCAGUAAGAAGUUAAUAUCAUUUACUUUCAUCUUUUAAUUCCUAGGUAUUUCUCCUCUAUCCCAAAAUAAGUGUCUCGAGCUUAGUACACCUUUGUACUAGAGUUAGUACAAAGUUGAGAGACUUUCUUUUUAAACGGAGAGAGUACUACAUAAUUGUAUCCUUGACACUUCCCGUGAUAAUGUCUAUCUACAGUGGGUAAGUAUGAACAUGCCCGCAAGAUGAUAAUUGUACCACACAUCAUAUUUAUGCAAGAUGCCUGCAGUUCUAUGUUUCCAAGGCUGUGUGAAAUUUUCUUGCAAAUGCAUGCUACUCUAUUUUAGGCAGUCUGAAACUGAGUGCCAACUACAAGUUGAAGACUCAAGAAAUUCUCCCAAAGAUGUGGUAUGCCUGACGAUGGAGCUGGUUCCCGAUGUAGCUGUGUCACAAGCUGUGCCGACGACCAUCAGCUGCCUUCACCGAGAUAAACACUUUUGAGGAGUCUGUGACUCUUGGUGCUCAUCUGUCAAUCCCA
rnacentral:lncRNA from 1 species